UGUCAACUCUUCCUAGAGCCAACACUUUCAAGAUAAUGCAGUUUAGACAUGCCGCAGCUGUUGAAAGUCAGUGAAAGCUUGGGCCUGUAGCGGAGCACAAUCCCCAACCAGAAACACCCAAACAGCGUUGAGAUCAAGAGUCAAGGAUGGGCAUUGAGAAGACAAAGGGCCUGGUGUGAGCCCUCAGCUUCCCGCCCCUGCCCCCAUGCCUGCUGCUCCUUGCUGUGCCUCCUCGACAUGACAGACCUAUGCCUCUGCAACUAUAAACCUAAAUAAAAUUCUCUCAGUUGCCUUGAAAAGGUGUUUUAUCACAGCAACGGAAAGAAACUAAAACAGGCAUAUAAACAGAACAGAGGAUAAAAGCUUACUGUUAUAUUCUUGGGUGUUGGAAGAUGUGACAGCAGUCAACAAUCAAUUUUUCUUACAAUCAAACUUUAAAAUAAAUUUGUAGCAUGAAAACUA